GACGAACGCUGGCGGCGUGCUUAACACAUGCAAGUCGAACGAAGAGCGAUGGAAGCUUGCUUCUAUCAAUCUUAGUGGCGAACGGGUGAGUAACGCGUAAUCAACCUGCCCUUCAGAGGGGGACAACAGUUGGAAACGACUGCUAAUACCGCAUACGAUCUAACCUCGGCAUCGAGGAUGGAUGAAAGGUGGCCUCUAUGUAUAAGCUAUCACUGAAGGAGGGGAUUGCGUCUGAUUAGCUAGUUGGAGGGGUAACGGCCCACCAAGGCGAUGAUCAGUAGCCGGUCUGAGAGGAUGAACGGCCACAUUGGGACUGAGACACGGCCCAGACUCCUACGGGAGGCAGCAGUGGGGAAUCUUCCGCAAUGGACGAAAGUCUGACGGAGCAACGCCGCGUGAGUGAUGACGGCCUUCGGGUUGUAAAGCUCUGUUAAUCGGGACGAAAGGCCUUCUUGCGAACAGUUAGAAGGAUUGACGGUACCGGAAUA
rnacentral:rRNA from 1 species